rnacentral:lncRNA from 10 species
GUGGGUAGCAUGAAAAUUAUGCACAAACCUUUUUUUUUUUUUUAACCUCAUCAGCUGUUGUUAGCAUUAGUGUAUUUUAUGUGCAGCCCAGGAGCAUUCUUCUUCCAAUGUGGCCCUGAUAAGCCAAAAGACUGGACACCUGUGCACUAGAUCAAAAGGCUACUCCUUCUGGAAGCAAUUGUAAAGAAUUUCUGACAUAAUCUUGACAUGAAAACCAAUGGAUAGUGGGACAGAAUGCAAAAUCUUGAAGAAUUUUUCUUGUCUUUUUUUUUUUUUUUUUGAGUCACGGUCUUGCUCUGUGGCCCAGGCUGGAGUACACUGGUGAGAUCAGAGCUCAGUGCAGGAUCAAGUGCUCCUCCCGCCUCAGCCACAGUAGUAGCUGGGACUACAGAUGCGCACAACCACCCCUGGCUAAUAUUUUCUUUUUUGUAGAGAUGGGGUCUCACUAUAUUGUCCGGGUUGGUCUCAAACUCCUUGACUCAAGGGAUCCAGGAAAGGAUAACAGGUGGGAGCCACCACACCUGGCUAUGUGCAUGAACUUUUAAGACAAACACAGGGCCCCACAAAAGUUAAGGUUUUUCCCACCUAAUUUCCAGGGGGAUCUUUUGGUGCACGGCUGAGAAGCCCUUAAAAGUACACAGACAACUCCAAAGAUUCAAGACAGUUCAUUCGGGCUGAGCCAGCCCACUGGGCAGACUGACCUUCAAAAAAGACCCACCCAUGACAUACACCAGAUGGCUCUCCAAGAAUCCCUUCAGUCCUCAGGGUCCCUAACGUACUGGACAGAGCUAGGAAAGCAAACCCAUUUGCUUCUUCCUGCAGGAAACCCCUUGAGGUUAAGACCCCACAAUCACAUGAGGAUGGAGUGGCUCACCCUCAGUCAACAGGCCAGACUCAAGGGGUUCCUGGCAAGUCAUUUCUCCCUCAGGCCUUCGGUUUCCUCACCUACAAGAUGAGAGGGCUGGACCAGAUGGAAAUUCAGGGGGUAAGGGGAUGUCCUCGCUCAGCCCACCCCCACCCCCACGGGACCCUGGAGCCUCCAUCCCAGUUCCCACCACGCGCCUGCUCCACAAAUCCUGCCCAAG